rnacentral:lncRNA from 1 species
CACCAGAUAGAGCAAAAACGAGUAGAGGCUGUGGACAUCAAUGGAUCUAUCCUCUCUUGCCAUUUUGUGUGAUAUCCUGCAUCCUCUUCAAUGAAAUGGUAGCCCCUAAACACUUUUAACUCCACCAUUAAAUAGCCUGUUCCACACCUAGACCGUCUACCCUGAAUGAUGCCUGUGAUGAGAAGCUCACGCUACUCUUAAAUGAAUGUAGGGAGUUCUGUCUCGAUAGUGUUGCUUUUUCAGGUUUGAGAUGAAGAGUAUGGAGCCGAUUUUUGAACAGCAGUCAGUGGGGUUCC